AUAAAGACAGGUAUUUUUUGGCUCUGUAGCUAUUUCUUAGGUAUUUCUAAUAUACCUAUUUUUUUUUCUUUUCAUUUUUUUCUUCAAAAAUAUGAUUAUAUUAUCUGCUGCCAAUGAAGGAUUUUGAUCAAUGACUUCACUAUGAAUAGAAAUUCUGGA